UUCAAAUGAAAAUUAUACUAGAUUUAUAACCUCAAUUCUGUUCUGGAAAAACAAUUCCUCAACAAGAAAAAAAAGCUCAAUUUACCAACCAUUCAACCAAACCCUCAGAGAUAAUGACAGAGCAAGAAUUCUUCGAGAGGUAAGUGAAAUACUUGGAGUUUCCUAACGGCAACGUCCGCGGAAGCGCCGGUGACGCUAAU
rnacentral:lncRNA from 1 species